CCUACGGGUGGCAGCAGUGAGGAAUAUUGGUCAAUGGUCGGGAGACUGAACCAGCCAAGCCGCGUGAGGGAUGAAGGUACAGAGUAUCGUAAACCUCUUUUGUCAGGGAACAAAGGCGGGGACGUGUCCCCGGAUGAGUGUACCUGAAGAAAAAGCAUCGGCUAACUCCGUGCCAGCAGCCGCGGUAAUACGGGGGAUGCGAGCGUGAUCCGGAUUUAUUGGGUUUAAAGGGUGCGCAGGCGGUCUGUUAAGUCAGCGGUAAAAGCCCGGGGCUCAACCCCGCCCCGCCGUUGAAACUGGCAGACGAGAGUUGGAGAGAAGAAUGCGGAAUGCGCGGUGUAGCGGUGAAAUGCAUAGAUAUCGCGAAGAACUCCGAUUGCGAAGGCAGCAUGCCGGCUCCAAACUGACGCUGAGGCACGAAAGCGUGGGUAUCGAACAGGAUUAGAUACCCGGGUAGUC
rnacentral:rRNA from 1 species